rfam:Larimichthys crocea isolate SSNF unplaced genomic scaffold scaffold14, whole genome shotgun sequence.
CACACGGCUCUGUUCAGAGCCACCAACUGUUCCACAAGGGAGCCG